UAACUCAUUUUCUUGACUUUGAAUAUACUUUUGUAAUUUUUGCAUAAGUUUAUUCCAAAAGAACAUUUUGGCCAAAAUGUUGGAACCAGUGUAUCUAGGAAGAUGGAGCCUUAAUUAUCAUUUCUAUGGGGCAUAAUUGAGAAUAACUCUAUGAGGAAUUUUGCAACGCUAUCUCCAACAGGUAUAUAUACCAAAUGUAACCGUAAAAGUGUGUGAAAUAUUCACAUGAUACAUAAAUAAGAAUAAUUAGAAAGAAAGGUAUUCAACUCUCAGGGUAGAAAAAUAGCCUGUCAAGUGCUUCUUUCAAUUUUAAAGUCUGUUAUCUCUAAAGUAUUCUGUAGCGCAUAUUCAUAUCGUUACAGGAAGGACAUUUGGUUUGGCAGACAAAUUGCUUGAGUUGAAAUAAUUCAACCAACUCCAAAUUCCUCACUGCUUGCUGCAUUUCCCCAUAUGUUGUUCUGCCAGCCUCCCCAAAUCCAGUCAUCCAAAUUUGGACACAUUUUCUUCUAUCCUCUAUUUUCUCAUACCUCAUCCUUCCUCUAGAAGUCACUCCAAUGAUAUUUCUGUCUGGUCGCUCAAGCUGGGAAAACUGGAGAUGUACCUCAUCUUUCCAAAUUCCUUAAUUCCAACUACACAAGAUUGCAUUCCUGUCCCUGGACAUCCUAAGUUCCUAGAUUUGUAUAUUCUGUUCCUUUCACUCCUGGCCUCUUCAAACACAUUUUACUUGAGAAAAUACUGCUCCUUCUUCAAGGCUUAGCUCCAAUGCCACUGCUCCUUGAAUUCCCUAAUUUUUUAGAAUCAAUAAUUCUGUCCCCAGUGCUUUCUUGAAUCCUCAGUUAUAUACUAUAUCACCUUAUUUCUCUCUCUGUUUUGUUUAUUUCCUAUGUACAUAUCUACCUAUUAUGGGGGUAAUAAAUUAUGGUGUCCAGGGGUUUCCUUUCAAUGAUCUUACAAUUGUCAAGAUCUAAGUGCAGGGUCUUAUAUGAAUAAUGUAAUAAUCAAACAAUAUGUGUUGAUUCUAAACCUAUUACAGAAUCCUUGAGUGAGAAGGCUAAUACCUGCACUGCAAUGUUCAUCACAGCACUAUUUACAAUAGUCAAGACAUGGAAGUAACUUAAAUGUCCAUUAACAGAGGAAUGGAUAAAGAAGAAAUGAUAUAUACAUAUACACACAUAUAUCUAUAUAUGAUAUUGCAUAUAUAUAUAUAAUGGAAUAUUACUCAGCCAUAUAAAAGAAUGGAAUAAUGCCAUUUGUAGCAACAUGGGUGGACCUAGAGAUUAUUAAAGUUAAGUCAGACAAAGACAAAAAUAAUAUGAGAUCACUAAUAUGUGGAUGCAUAAAAAUGAUACAAGGAGCUUACAAAACAGAAACAGACUCAAAGAUUUUGAAAGCAAAUUAAUGUUUACCAAAGGGGAAAAGUGGAGGGGAAGGGAUAAAUUAAAGGGCUGGAUUAACAUCUACACACUACUAUAUAUAAAAUAGAUAGGUAACAAGGACCCAGUAUAGAUCAUAGGGAAAUCUACUCAAUACUAUGUAAUAACCUAUAUGGGAAAAGAAUCUGAAAAGCAAUGAAUAUACGUACAUGUAUAACUGAUUCACUUUUCUGUACGCCUGAAACUAACACAACUCUUAAGUCAACUAUAAUUCAAUAAAAUUUAUAAAAACAAAAACCAGAGCGGGAAGGGAACUUAGAUUUGUUCACUAUUCCCUGAGUGUCAGGUGUGCCAGAAACCUGCUUUGUUGUUUCUUUUGCAACAUUCUUGCACAGCUGUCACUUUUAUCCCUACUUCAUAGGUACAGAUACUGAAGGUCAGAGCUAACCUGCCAAAGGUCAAAUAACUAGUAAGUAAAGAAAGGAAUUUUGAACUCGCUUCUAUUUGAUUUUAAAGAAUGAUGCUUUUCUGCCACACUCCACAACCAGGGAUCCUCUAUUUGUUUCUUUGCAUAUGAAUUAUCCUAUUUUUUCCUCUCCCCAGGAGACCUUAGGAGUCCCUUUGAUUUACUUAUCCUCCCCCUUUUUUUUGUCUUUUUAGGGCCACACCUGUGGCAUAUGGAGGUUCCCAGGCUAGGGGUGGAAUCAGAGCUGUAGCUGCCACCCUACACUACAGCCACAGCAAUGCUGGAUCUGAGCCUCAUCUGCGACCUACACCACAGCUCAGAGCAAGACCAGGGAUCGAACUCACGUCCUUAUGGACACCAGUCUGGUUCAUUAACUGCUGAGCCAUGACAGGAACUCCUACUUAACCUUCCCAUAAUCCCCAUUUGUAUCAGUUUCUUUUGCUGCUGUAACAAAUUACCACAAAUUUAGUGGCUUAAGACAACACAAAUAUAUUCCCUUAUAGUUUAAAAGUCAGGGGUCCAAAGUGAGUUUCAAGGAGUUAAAAUAAAGUUGUCAGCAAGGCUGAUUCCUUCUAGAGUUUCCAGGGUAUGCUCUGUUUCAUCCCCUUCCAGCUCCUAGAUGCUUUUGACCACAUCAUGCCAGCCACUGCUUCCGUCAUCACAUAGCCUUCAUGCCUCUCUUGCCUCCUCUUAUAGGAACUCUUGCGAUUAUGUCAUGCCCUCCAAGGUAAUCCAGGAUAAUCUCCCCAUCUAAAGAUUCCUCAUUGAAACACAUCUGCCCAAGGCCCUUUGGAAGGUAGCAUUUACAGAUUCUGGGGAAUUAGAAAUAUGGCCACCUUUGGGUGCGUCAUUAUUCAAUCUCUCCUACCUUUAUAACUGAAUAGGUAUUAGUAAAGUAAGAUCUGUUUUCAGUGUAUCAGCACAGGAAACAAAUAGGUCGAACUAUUGGGGUCGGACCGGGAAUUUCCCACUCUAAGUAGCACAAAAUUGAACCAGCUGGCCACAUACAGAGACACUUGUUUAAACAGACAUCUGAACCCUGAAUAAUUGUGAAAUAUAUACUUAAGUACCAUGGACUACAAAAUUCAAAGCCAACAGACCGCCUCUCAUGGCAUAUAAGUGGUCAAAAUAAACCCCACAGCCAUUAUGCUUUAGAAAACAGAAUGUAUGUUAUUUAAUCCACUCCACUGUGUAGUGGUGCUUUUUGAAUUUAAAUAAAUGUCCUAUGGUCAAAAUUCCCCACACAAAUGCUCACCUUUCCUGCAAGCACACCUAUUGUGUUUCUAACUUUGUCUCCUAGCCAUCUGAAUGGUAAAAUGGCUCACAUGAACUUCUUUCCUUGUUAGCUUCUUCAAGUGAACUCAUCAUGGGAGCCACUCCUGUGAUAGACUGGCAGUUAAAAGACUCAAAUGUCAAGAUGUUGUUAUCCAUCACAUCAACAGUAACUUUCAGAUUGAAUAGUUCUCUGCUUUAUGUCAAAUCUUUGGCGUGGAUUUUUUUCCCCCUCAUAAAAUAGAAAUUGCUGACAUGGUAAUGCCAACUCCCUUGUCCGAGUGUUCACCCAUCUCAUCUAGAAUAUCCUUCACCUGUUAGUGAAAAAAGAUGAUGGGACAUAUUCGCCUGUUGCUGAUGAAUGCCCAUUAGCCUUGAGAAGCAAAUACACCCUGUUGUGCACAUCCGGGAGGUGACUGUAAUAGAAUUCCAUUUUGUGGCUUGUGGAAAAAGCGUUUUUGAGCCAAUCUACGUGUGUUUUCAAAUUUCAUCCCAAUAUACAUUCGGCUUCCUAGCUGCUCACUUGCUUGCUGGCAUGUAUCCUAUUUUCACAUGCAAUUUCUUUAUGAAUUGAAGGGAAGACGUAGGCAAGCGUCUAGCUGUUUAGGAAAAUAAAUUUAUAUAUUUUGAGCGUGUGCCUUGCUGUGGGUGAAGGAUAAAAUAUUUAGGUAGACAUCUCCGAUUACCAGUGAGGCCUUCUUGUUAAAGACAGAUUAUAGAAAGUCAUAUUCUGUGCCGUACCUCACAAUCUGAAUGCUCCUAUUAAUUUUUAUUUUUACUAUUUACUUAUUACUAAAUACAGCUCUGCUCCAUAAUCAGUCAUAUAAUGACCUAUUGAAAAUGCCAUAUGCCAUCAAACUAUUGGGCAGCAUGAACUUAUUUGAGACCUGGUAUUUAUUGACAGUAGUUUAUACCUGAAUGAAUAAACUUCAUUAUCAAGAUGCUCAAAUCCAUGAACAUCUGUGAAUGAAAAUAUACAGCAUAUUGAUUUUGUUAUGGUCCUUCGCUGCCAUGUAGGUGGCAUUACAUCAGCUUACAAUUUCAAUGACCUGCUGCAGUUUAGACAUAAAAAAUCGUUAUCUGGAAACCUCUCAAACCAACAGAAAUGUAAUCAAUUUUUUAUCUGUGGUUAGGCACUGGAAGUCAGUGGUGGAUUUUCUGUCCUCAAUGCUCACGUCCUCUUGUUAAAAUAUUUAGGGAGCUCCCGUGGGAAAUGCUAUACCUAGAUUGAACCUGUUUACAUUAGGAAGUGAAAAAUUGGCUCUUUGUGUCCUGUUAGCCACCAGCACAUGUUUGUCUCCAAGAGUCAAUUCCCCAGGGGAACUACAGGAUACAGCUCCCCUCUUGUUUCUGAACACCCUUCUCCAGCACGACCAAAGCCAUAGGGACCGACAAUUUCAAUUACAAAUAUUAUUUGAUUUCAACAUACAAUUUUACACCCUGUAUCUCUAACUCCCAUCCAGGUGGGCACAUAAUAACUUGACAUCAAGCAGUAUUCCCAAUAACUUUUUAAAAAAUGGGUUCUCGGGCUAGGAGUCAAAUUGGAGCCUACACUACAGCCAUAGCUACUGCCAUGUGAAAUCCGAGACACAUUUGUCACCUAUGCUGCAGCUUGUGGCAACUCUAGAUCCUUAACCCAUUGAGAGAGCCAGGGAUUGAACCGACAUCCUCAAGGACACUACGUGGGGUUCUUAACCCCCUGACCCACAAUGGGAACUCCUAUCAAGAAUGUUCUUUUGAUGAUUAGGAAAGGAAAACAAUUCUAUACUGGAAAAUAUGAUAGGCCUGUUCCCAGGAUUGAUAAUAUGUCUUAGGUAAGAAACUGUUACAUUUGAGAAAUUAUUUCUCUGUAAUUGUUGUUGACUCAUCCGUUUAUUGAGGAUAGGCUAUUGUUUAAACAUAGUCGAAGUGGUGGGAAGGUGAAGGAACGACCUCUCCUGAUGAGGACUUUACAAAUUAUCUGGUACAGGGAAGAGCCGUGCUACAAAUAACUAAAAUGCAGGGCAGAAAACAACAAAUGCCAUAGAAGAAUUGUCAAUAAAGUACCAUCAAUUAUAUGAGAUGGGAUAACUUCUGAGGAAGAAAGGGAGUCAGAGAAGACUUCAUAAUAGAGGGACAUUUGUAUCGGUGCAGCCACUCUGGAGAAUAGUAUGGAGGUUCCUUUAAAAACUAAAUAUAGAAUUACCAUAUGAUGCAGCAUUCCCACUCCUGGGCAUCUAUCCAGAGAAAACCAUAAUUUGAAAAGAUGCAUGAACCCCAAUGUUCAUUGCAGCAAUUUACAAUAGCCAAGACAUGGAAGCAACCUAAAUGUCAUUCAACAGAUGAAUGGAUAAAUAAGAUGUGAGAUUAUAUAUAUAUAUGCACACACAUGCACACACACAUAUACACACAUACAUAUAUAUAUUACUCAGCCAUAAAAAUGAAUGAAAUGAUGGCAUUUGCAGCAACAUGGAUGGACCUAGAGAUUAUCAUACUAGGCUAAGUCAGAGAAAGACAAAUAUCAUAUGAGAUCAUGGAAUCUAAUAAAGAAUGAUACAGGGAAACUUGUUAACAAAACAGACUCAGACUCAAAA
rnacentral:lncRNA from 1 species